GGUAGUCAUGAAGGAUGGAAAAAAUGAUAGCAACUAGUUCAUUAGGCUGGUGGGAUUCUGGGAAAUUUUCUUAAAGUUACAUGAUUAUUUGUGUGAGUGGCUAGUUUUCCUUUUCUUUUCCUUUUUUUUCCCCCUAAGUACAGUGUUAGGCAAACCCCUAUGUUGUUCCACGAUUUCCAAGCCCAUCCCCUGUGGGCCAUGCAUUAGCUCCCUAAACCCGUAGCUCCUCUCUGAUACCUACCAGCCUUCAGUUCGACUUAGAAGAUGGCCUCCCUGGGAAGAAUAACAGGGUGGACAUGACAGUUGCAGAACAAUCACGACGUGGUACUUCAUCUUCAUGACCAUUCAAGCUACAUCAUCUCACUCAGAUGUUUUGGGGGAGACUGAGACUUAGGGUAAAGGCUGUCUGAACCCCCAGUGGACUACGGCAGUGUGGACUCUGCCUUUAGCUAACUGGCUUUCCUUAGGAAGCUGGUAUUGGUUAAGUAAGGUGUUGACAAGCUGGUCAGCUUGCAGAUGGGUUGUCUUCGGGCUGUCCCAGCUGGCUCAGGUGGGCGGGGUCCUCCCUGUGUCGCCUUGGCUUUCCGAGUGCUGACUUGGUGCCAUGCCCAGCUCUGCUCCCAGCCAGGCUGCGUCUCAGAGCUGAGCAUGCACCGAGUGGCCGAGGAGUCUCCAAUCUGCCUCUCCCUCCCCCUCUCACAGCGAGUCCUUGUGGCCAAUCGAAGCCAGGAACGCAGCCAUUGCCAAUCACUGCUUCACUUGUGCCAUCAACCGUGUGGGUCAGGAACGCUACCCCAAUGAGUUCACUUCUGGAGAUGGAAAGAAAGCUCACCACGACCUCGGCUACUUUUACGGCUCAAGCUAUGUGGCAGCUCCUGACGGCAGCCGGACCCCUGGCCUCUCACGUAAUCAAGAUGGGCUGCUGGUCACUGAGCUCAACCUCAACCUUUGCCAGCAGAUUAAUGACUUCUGGACUUUCAAGGUGGGUCCUCAAGUCCCCUUCUGCCCGCUGCAGGCA